GUUUAAGUUUUAUUAUUUGUGUAGUUUUUGUUGUUUUGUUUAAAAUAUUAGAGGGUUUUAUUUUUUUUUUAAAAAAUAUAUUUUUUAUUAUAGAUAAAGGUAUUGAGAAAGAUUAUUAUUUAAGUUUAUUAAAAGAAAUUUUUAUUUGGUGUACCUUGUGUAUCAGGGUUGAUUAAUUAAGUUUUAUGAUUUAAGGUUCCCGAAGUUGAAAGAGCUAAUUAAUUAAGUUUUUACUGUGAAAAAAGUUUAUUUAAUAUUUAAUUAGAAGCGAAACGUUAUUCGUUUUCAUGGAUAUCUGGUUUUUAAAGAAAUGAAUUUAAUUCAGAAUUAAUCUAUUUAAAGGAGGGUAAUUUUCUUUUGUUUAAUUUUUAAUUUAAUUUUUAAGGGGGUAAGCUUUUAUUAUUAGUAAUUAAAUAAAUAGAGUUUUAUUUAAUUUUAUGGGGUUAGAAUUGCUCAUUUUAUAAGUUUGUAAUAAAUGGUUUUAUUUUUAGAAGUAUUUUUUUUUAUUUUAAUUUUGUUUAUUUAAAAGGAGGUUGUAAUUGAAGAGUUUUAAAAUAAUGAUUUAAUUAUUAUAAUUUGUUUUAUAAUUAAUUUUUGGGGUAAUCUGAAAAUAAGGAAUUCGGCAAUUUGAAUUCUUCACCUGUUUAAUAAAAACAUGUCUUAUUUGAUUUUAAUUUUAAGUCUGACCUGCUCGAUGAAUUUUUAAUGGCCGCAGUAUUUUAACUGUGCAAAGGUAGCGUAAUCAUUAGUUUUUUGAAUGAAAACUGGUAUGAAAGGUUUGAUGAGGGGAAAGCUGUCUCUUUUUUAUUAUGUUAAAAUUUUAUUUUUAAGUGAAAAAGCUUAAAUUUGUUAAAUAGACGAGAAGACCCUUUAGAGUUUAACAUGAUGGUUUAGUAUUAUUUGGAUUUAAUUUUGGUAUUGUUAAGUUAAUGUUUUGUUGGGGUGAUGUAAAAAUUUAAUAAACUUUUUAUUUAUUUGUACAUUAAUUUUUGGGUAUUAUGAUCUUAAUUUUUGGAUUGAAAGGUAAAAUUACCUUAGGGAUAACAGCGUAAUUUUUUUUUAAAGUUCUAAUUGAAAGAAAAGAUUGCGACCUCGAUGUU
rnacentral:rRNA from 1 species